AAAUUGAAGAGUUUGAUCAUGGCUCAGAUUGAACGCUGGCGGCAGGCCUAACACAUGCAAGUCGAACGGUAACAGGAAGAAGCUUGCUUCUUUGCUGACGAGUGGCGGACGGGUGAGUAAUGUCUGGGAAACUGCCUGAUGGAGGGGGAUAACUACUGGAAACGGUAGCUAAUACCGCAUAACGUCGCAAGACCAAAGAGGGGGACCUUCGGGCCUCUUGCCAUCGGAUGUGCCCAGAUGGGAUUAGCUAGUAGGUGGGGUAACGGCUCACCUAGGCGACGAUCCCUAGCUGGUCUGAGAGGAUGACCAGCCACACUGGAACUGAGACACGGUCCAGACUCCUACGGGAGGCAGCAGUGGGGAAUAUUGCACAAUGGGCGCAAGCCUGAUGCAGCCAUGCCGCGUGUAUGAAGAAGGCCUUCGGGUUGUAAAGUACUUUCAGCAGGGAGGAAGGGAGUAAAGUUAAUACCUUUGCUCAUUGACGUUACCCGCAGAAGAAGCACCGGCUAACUCCGUGCCAGCAGCCGCGGUAAUACGGAGGGUGCAAGCGUUAAUCGGAAUUACUGGGCGUAAAGCGCACGCAGGCGGUUUGUUAAGUCAGAUGUGAAAUCCCCGGGCUCAACCUGGGAACUGCAUCUGAUACUGGCAAGCUUGAGUCUCGUAGAGGGGGGUAGAAUUCCAGGUGUAGCGGUGAAAUGCGUAGAGAUCUGGAGGAAUACCGGUGGCGAAGGCGGCCCCCUGGACGAAGACUGACGCUCAGGUGCGAAAGCGUGGGGAGCAAACAGGAUUAGAUACCCUGGUAGUCCACGCCGUAAACGAUGUCGACUUGGAGGUUGUGCCCUUGAGGCGUGGCUUCCGGAGCUAACGCGUUAAGUCGACCGCCUGGGGAGUACGGCCGCAAGGUUAAAACUCAAAUGAAUUGACGGGGGCCCGCACAAGCGGUGGAGCAUGUGGUUUAAUUCGAUGCAACGCGAAGAACCUUACCUGGUCUUGACAUCCACGGAAGUUUUCAGAGAUGAGAAUGUGCCUUCGGGAACCGUGAGACAGGUGCUGCAUGGCUGUCGUCAGCUCGUGUUGUGAAAUGUUGGGUUAAGUCCCGCAACGAGCGCAACCCUUAUCCUUUGUUGCCAGCGGUCCGGCCGGGAACUCAAAGGAGACUGCCAGUGAUAAACUGGAGGAAGGUGGGGAUGACGUCAAGUCAUCAUGGCCCUUACGACCAGGGCUACACACGUGCUACAAUGGCGCAUACAAAGAGAAGCGACCUCGCGAGAGCAAGCGGACCUCAUAAAGUGCGUCGUAGUCCGGAUUGGAGUCUGCAACUCGACUCCAUGAAGUCGGAAUCGCUAGUAAUCGUGGAUCAGAAUGCCACGGUGAAUACGUUCCCGGGCCUUGUACACACCGCCCGUCACACCAUGGGAGUGGGUUGCAAAAGAAGUAGGUAGCUUAACCUUCGGGAGGGCGCUUACCACUUUGUGAUUCAUGACUGGGGUGAAGUCGUAACAAGGUAACCGUAGGGGAACCUGCGGUUGGAUCACCUCCUUA
rnacentral:rRNA from 1 species